rnacentral:lncRNA from 1 species
GUUCGGGCUGGAUGCCAGCGUCCCGCGUCUCCCCAGUCCUCAGGACCCGCCCUGGGUGCCCGGGACCCUAGUGCCCUCUGAUGCGCUGGGGACCCCUGCCUCCGACAUCCCCUGGGGAUCCCUGGGUCCGCGGCCACCUGUGGACUUGAUCACCUUUCACACCCAGGAAACCCCAAGUCCUCCAGAUUUCCCUCAGACUCAGCACACAGGAGACCUCAGCGGCUUCAAGGCCUGAGACCGUUACAUCUAAUCCAGAAGCCCAACAGAUCCCCUCUGGUCCUAUUCCAGAGACUUCUCAGGUCUCCAGGCCCAUGGACUCCCAUCUCUUCUUGUGUGGAGGCCUUCCUUCCUAGGAUCUCCUGCCUCCCUUUCUUAAACUUGAGGUCCACAGAGCCUUGCAGCUUCUACUAGAGUGUUCUUGAGGUUUGUGGAUGGUUAAUAGGAAUAAAAGUAGAACCAUCUGACAAGUCAGCAGAGGACUACGCAUAACCAAAGAGGAGGAUUCACAGAUGGAGUCAGUGGAAAAGACAACGAACAGAAGUGAACAGAAAUGCAGAAAGUUUUUAAAGAGCCUCAUUAGGAAGCAACCCCAGGACCUGCUCUUGGUCAUUGGGACCGGCGUGAGCGCAGCGGUGGCCCCAGGUAUCCGGGCUCUCUGCUCUUGGAGGAGCUGCAUCGAGGCCGUCAUCGAGGCUGCAGAGCAGCUGGAGGUUCUGCACCCUGGGGACGUGGCAGAGUUCCGGAGGAAGGUGA